rnacentral:rRNA from 1 species
CGUAGCCGCGGUAAUGCGAAGGGUGCAAGCGUUAAUCGGAAUUACUGGGCGUAAAGCGUGCGUAGGCGGUGAGUUAAGUCUGCUGUGAAAUCCCCGGGCUCAACCUGGGAAUGGCAGUGGAUACUGGCUCGCUAGAGUGUGUCAGAGGAUGGUGGAAUUCCCGGUGUAGCGGUGAAAUGCGUAGAGAUCGGGAGGAACAUCAGUGGCGAAGGCGGCCAUCUGGGACAACACUGACGCUGAGGCACGAAAGCGUGGGGAGCAAACAGGAUUAGAUACCCGCGUAGUCCCUGUCUCUUAUACC